GCAAGUCGAGCGGUAAGGCCCUUCGGGGUACACGAGCGGCGAACGGGUGAGUAACACGUGGGUGAUCUGCCUCGCACUUCGGGAUAAGCCUGGGAAACUGGGUCUAAUACCGGAUAUGACCUUUCAGUGCAUGCUGUUGGGUGGAAAGAUUUAUCGGUGCGAGAUGGGCCCGCGGCCUAUCAGCUUGUUGGCGGGGUAACGGCCCACCAAGGCGACGACGGGUAGCCGACCUGAGAGGGUGACCGGCCACACUGGGACUGAGACACGGCCCAGACUCCUACGGGAGGCAGCAGUGGGGAAUAUUGCACAAUGGGCGGAAGCCUGAUGCAGCGACGCCGCGUGAGGGAUGACGGCCUUCGGGUUGUAAACCUCUUUCGACAGGGACGAAGCGCAAGUGACGGUACCUGUAGAAGAAGCACCGGCCAACUACGUGCCAGCAGCCGCGGUAAUACGUAGGGUGCGAGCGUUGUCCGGAAUUACUGGGCGUAAAGAGCUUGUAGGCGGUUUGUCGCGUCGUCCGUGAAAACUUGGGGCUCAACCCCAAGCUUGCGGGC
rnacentral:rRNA from 1 species